GACACGUAGUUGCUACCCUUUUGGGCCUUUAUCUUGCAUUUUUUUGCUUUGGAUGGUAUGCCUUACACUUCCUCGUACAAAGUGGGAUUUCCUACUGCAUCAUGAUCAUAGCUGGAGUGGAGAGCAUGCAUCAAUCUUGUUUUCUGUUGGC